UUUCUUUUAAACAAAUGUUUGCAUGUUUUAAUUGACGAAUAUCAUUGCUUUAAACAAAUAAAGUUUUAUAAACUGUUUUAAACAAAAUGAACAUUCACAAUGACUAAAAGGAUAAAUAGAGGGUCUUUAGUUGCUUUCCCAAGGAUAGUUUGACCACCGAAAGGUGAGACAUUUGUUCAUAUUCUGGCAUGUUUAUAUCCUCUUCAUCAGCUUUCAG
rnacentral:lncRNA from 1 species